rnacentral:rRNA from 1 species
GUCGAGCGAAUGGNUUGAGAGCUUGCUCUCAAGAAGUUAGCGGCGGACGGGUGAGUAACACGUGGGUAACCUGCCCAUAAGACUGGGAUAACUCCGGGAAACCGGGGCUAAUACCGGAUAAUAUUUUGAACUGCAUGGUUCGAAAUUGAAAGGCGGCUUCGGCUGUCACUUAUGGAUGGACCCGCGUCGCAUUAGCUAGUUGGUGAGGUAACGGCUCACCAAGGCAACGAUGCGUAGCCGACCUGAGAGGGUNNNNNNNCAUACUGGGACUGAGACACGGCCCAGACUCCUACGGGAGGCAGCAGUAGGGAAUCUUCCGCAAUGGACGAAAGUCUGACGGAGCAACGCCGCGUGAGUGAUGAAGGCUUUCGGGUCGUAAAACUCUGUUGUUAGGGAAGAACAAGUGCUAGUUGAAUAAGCUGGCACCUUGACGGUACCUAACCAGAAAGCCACGGCUAACUACGUGCCAGCAGCCGCGGUAAUACGUAGGUGGCAAGCGUUAUCCGGAAUUAUUGGGCGUAAAGCGCGCGCAGGUGNUUUCUUAAGUCUGAUGUGAAAGCCCACGGCUCAACCGUGGAGGGUCAUUGGAAACUGGGAGACUUGAGUGCAGAAGAGGAAAGUGGAAUUCCAUGUGUAGCGGUGAAAUGCGUAGAGAUAUGGAGGAACACCAGUGGCGAAGGC